AUGUCAAAAUGUCAGCCAUGACCCAGCGUUGAGCGUUCCUGCCAACAAUUGAAAUUUAAAUUUCUAUUAAUGGUCAUCAAAAUGAUUUUAUGUGACUGUGUGACUUUUAUUGUGAAAAACUGAGAAGUCUUCGUUGACCAAACGUUGUUCGUACCAAUUUUCACAUAAAUCCCAUCACAGAGGUACUGAUUAGAUAUUAAAAACUGUAAUGCAGCUUUGAAGUGAAACUUUUGAAGCUUGGUAGAAUUCAAUGAUCUUACAUUUUACCCGAUGAGUGGAGUUUUUUCCUCCAAACGAGUGAAACUGCAAUAAUUUACAUCUUAGCAACUGAAUGGAAUGUUCGAAAUUAACUUUUUGUAAAGCGCAAAAGUUGAAAUUCUAUGUGAUUCCUGAAUGAUGAUAUUUUUUUCGUUGGAUUCGUAUGUUUUCAUGAAUGGCUUUGAACAGUUCGAUGAAGAUGCUAUUUCGGAUGUAAAUGGCUCGUUAAAGAAUAAUUUUUCGCAGGGUUUCUCAAAAUUCUGAAGUAAUACAGUACAAAACACACCUCGUAAGACGGAAAACAUCUUACGAGAUCGUUCCUAUCUCUCGAGGAAGAAGUUUGAUUUUCAAGAAGCCAGAGGGUUCGUCGUUCUGUUGAUCAAACCAGUUAAUGCGAUUAUCGAUCAAUAAAAUGUCGCUAUCGAGGAAUUUCCAAUUGCUUAAACGUUCUUGUUUAAGCAAUUGGAAAUUCCUUGAUAUAGCCUACGAAUUCAAAAAAUCAAAAUCAAUAUAAAGCUUUAUUUAACAAUAAGUUUAGUGUUACAGAAUACGCAAAGAUAUGAAAACAUAACACUCUUGGCCUUAGGAUUUAUCAAUAGCCUCCCCCAGCCUGCACCAUUCUUUCCUAUAUCUUGUGCGAUCCUUUCCUUUGAAAGUGGUGAUUGGUCAGUAGUUUCCUAAAGUCAUCCCUCCAUCUAGCCUUCUGUUUCCAUUGCCUUCUUGCCCCUGUAUUGAACCAGAAAGUGACUCUUCAGAAAGUCCAUCUAUUGUCCCUUACUCUAGGCAACUGACCCCCCCCCCCCCCAAC